CUCCAUGACCAGGUCUCUCAUAGGAAACAAACGGGAAAACCUACUGUUAGAUCUUGGUUUCACAGAUCUACUGUUCUAGCUGGAAAGCUUUUGGUGCAUCCCGGGAUAAUUAUAACAACUUUAUAAGCCACGGUGACAUUAAAAAGGUUUUACCUUCGUUUGGAAUUCUC